GACGAACGCUGGCGGCGUGCUUAACACAUGCCAGUCGAACGGAAAGGCCCUGCUUUUGUGGGGUGCUCGAGUGGCGAACGGGUGAGUAACACGUGAGUAACCUGCCCUUUACUUUGGGAUAACUUCAGGAAACUGGGGCUAAUACCGGAUAGGAGCUCCUGCUGCAUGGUGGGGGUUGGAAAGUUUCGGCGGUUGGGGAUGGACUCGCGGCUUAUCAGCUUGUUGGUGGGGUAGUGGCUUACCAAGGCUUUGACGGGUAGCCGGCCUGAGAGGGUGACCGGCCACAUGGGGACUGAGAUACGGACCAGACUGCAACGGGAGGCAGCAGUGGGGAAUAUUGCACAAUGGGCGGAAGCCUGAUGCAGCAACGCCGGGAGCGGGAUGACGGCCUUCGGGUUGUAAACAGCUUUAGCCUGUGACGAAGCGUGAGUGACGGUAAUGGGUAAAGAAGCACCGGCUAACUACGUG
rnacentral:rRNA from 1 species